rnacentral:rRNA from 1 species
CACGUAGGGGGCAAGCGUUGUCCGGAAUCAUUGGGCGUAAAGCGCGCGUAGGCGGCCCCAUAAGUCCGCUGUGAAAGUCAAAGGCUCAACCUUUGAAAGCCGGUGGAUACUGUGGGCUAGAGUACGGAAGAGGCGAGUGGAAUUCCUGGUGGUAGCGGUGGAAUGCGCAGAUAGUCAGGAGGAACACCAAUAGCGAAGGCAGCUCGCUGGACGUCACUGACG